rnacentral:piRNA from 1 species
UGAUCAGUGCAGUCCAGCAGUUGUUGG